rnacentral:rRNA from 1 species
UAGACUUGACAUCCUCGGAACCCUUCAGAGAUGAGGGGGUGCCUUCGGGAACCGAGAGACAGGUGGUGCAUGGCUGUCGUCAGCUCGUGUCGUGAGAUGUUCGGUUAAGUCCGGCAACGAGCGCAACCCUUGUCUUCAGUUGCCAGCACGUAAAGGUGGGAACUCUGAAGAGACUGCCCCGGUUAACGGGGAGGAAGGUGGGGAUGACGUCAAGUCCUCAUGGCCCUUAUGUCUGGGGCUACACACGUGCUACAAUGGUAUGUACAAAGGGCAGCAAGCAUGCGAGUGCAAGCCAAUCCCUUAAAGCAUAUCCCAGUCCGGAUUGGAGUCUGCAACUCGACUCCAUGAAGUUGGAAUCGCUAGUAAUCGUGGAUCAGCAUGCCACGGUGAAUACGUUCCCGGGCCU